AUUCCAGCUCCAAUAGCGUAUAUUAAAGUUGUUGCAGUUAAAAAGCUCGUAGUUGGAUUUCUGGUAGGAGCGACCGUGCCGAACUUGAUUGUUCGAGUAUUGUGUUGUCUUCAGCCAUCCUCGUGGAGAACUUUUCUAACAUUAACUUGUUGGGAUUGGGACCCGCGUCGUUUACUGUGAAAAAAUUAGAGUGUUUAAAGCAGGCAUUAGCUUGAAUACAUUAGCAUGGAAUAAUAAGAUAGGACUUUGGUACUAUUUUGUUGGUUUGCAUACCAAAUUAAUGAUCAACAGGAACGGUUUGAGGAUAUUCGUAUGAACAUGUCAGAGGUGAAAUUCUUGGAUUUUGAUCAGACGAACUACUGCGAAAGCAUUUAUCAAGGAUGUUUUCAUUG
rnacentral:rRNA from 1 species